rnacentral:rRNA from 1 species
CUGAUUAGCUAGUUGGAGGGGUAACGGCCCACCAAGGCGAUGAUCAGUAGCCGGUCUGAGAGGAUGAACGGCCACAUUGGUACUGAGACACGGCCCAGACUCCUACGGGAGGCAGCAGUGGGGAAUCUUCCGCAAUGGACGAAAGUCUGUCGGAGCAACGCCGCGUGAGUGAUGACGGCCUUCGGGUUGUAAAGCUCUGUUAAUCGGGACGAAAGGCCUUCUUGCGAAUAGUUAGAAGGAUUGACGGUACCGGAAUAGAAAGUCACGGCUAAUUACGUGCCAGCAGCCGCGGUAAUACGUAGGUGUCACGCGUUGUCUGGAAUUAUUGGGCGUAAAGCGCGCGCAGGCGGAUUGGUCAGUCUGUCUUAAAAGUUCGGGGCUUAACCCCGUGAUGGGAUGGAAACUGCCAAUCUAGAGUAUCGGAGAGGAAAGUGGAAUUCCUAGUGUAGCGGUGAAAUGCGUAGAUAUUAGGAAGAACACCAGUGGCGAAGGCGACUUUCUGGACGAAAACUGACGCUGAGGCGCGAAAGCCAGGGGAGCGAACGAGAUUAGAUACCCC